UACAGAGGUCCCGAGCGUUGUUCGGAUUCACUGGGCGUAAAGGGUGCGUAGGUGGUUGGGUAAGUCUGAUGUGAAAUCUCCGGGCUCAACCCGGAAAUGGCAUUGGAUACUAUUCGGCUAGAGGUUUGGAGGGGGGACUGGAAUUCUCGGUGUAGCAGUGAAAUGCGUAGAUAUCGAGAGGAACACCAGUGGCGAAGGCGAGUCCCUGGACAAUUCCUGACGCUGAGGCACGAAAGCUAGGGUAGCAAACGGG
rnacentral:rRNA from 1 species